rnacentral:rRNA from 1 species
ACGAACGCUGGCGGCGUGCCUAAUACAUGCAAGUCGAACGCUUCUUUUUCCACCGGAGCUUGCUCCACCGGAAAAAGAGGAGUGGCGAACGGGUGAGUAACACGUGGGUAACCUGCCCAUCAGAAGGGGAUAACACUUGGAAACAGGUGCUAAUACCGUAUAACAAUCGAAACCGCAUGGUUUUGAUUUGAAAGGCGCUUUCGGGUGUCGCUGAUGGAUGGACCCGCGGUGCAUUAGCUAGUUGGUGAGGUAACGGCUCACCAAGGCGACGAUGCAUAGCCGACCUGAGAGGGUGAUCGGCCACAUUGGGACUGAGACACGGCCCAAACUCCUACGGGAGGCAGCAGUAGGGAAUCUUCGGCAAUGGACGAAAGUCUGACCGAGCAACGCCGCGUGAGUGAAGAAGGUUUUCGGAUCGUAAAACUCUGUUGUUAGAGAAGAACAAGGAUGAGAGUAACUGUUCAUCCCUUGACGGUAUCUAACCAGAAAGCCACGGCUAACUACGUGCCAGCAGCCGCGGUAAUACGUAGGUGGCAAGCGUUGUCCGGAUUUAUUGGGCGUAAAGCGAGCGCAGGCGGUUUCUUAAGUCUGAUGUGAAAGCCCCCGGCUCAACCGGGGAGGGUCAUUGGAAACUGGGAGACUUGAGUGCAGAAGAGGAGAGUGGAAUUCCAUGUGUAGCGGUGAAAUGCGUAGAUAUAUGGAGGAACACCAGUGGCGAAGGCGGCUCUCUGGUCUGUAACUGACGCUGAGGCUCGAAAGCGUGGGGAGCAAACAGGAUUAGAUACCCUGGUAGUCCACGCCGUAAACGAUGAGUGCUAAGUGUUGGAGGGUUUCCGCCCUUCAGUGCUGCAGCUAACGCAUUAAGCACUCCGCCUGGGGAGUACGACCGCAAGGUUGAAACUCAAAGGAAUUGACGGGGGCCCGCACAAGCGGUGGAGCAUGUGGUUUAAUUCGAAGCAACGCGAAGAACCUUACCAGGUCUUGACAUCCUUUGACCACUCUAGAGAUAGUGCUUCCCCUUCGGGGGCAAAGUGACAGGUGGUGCAUGGUUGUCGUCAGCUCGUGUCGUGAGAUGUUGGGUUAAGUCCCGCAACGAGCGCAACCCUUAUUGUUAGUUGCCAUCAUUUAGUUGGGCACUCUAGCAAGACUGCCGGUGACAAACCGGAGGAAGGUGGGGAUGACGUCAAAUCAUCAUGCCCCUUAUGACCUGGGCUACACACGUGCUACAAUGGGAAGUACAACGAGUCGCAAAGUCGCGAGGCUAAGCUAAUCUCUUAAAGCUUCUCUCAGUUCGGAUUGUAGGCUGCAACUCGCCUACAUGAAGCCGGAAUCGCUAGUAAUCGCGGAUCAGCACGCCGCGGUGAAUACGUUCCCGGGCCUUGUACACACCGCCCGUCACACCACGAGAGUUUGUAACACCCGAAGUCGGUGAGGUAACCUUUUGGAGCCAGCCGCCUAAGGUGGGAUAGAUGAUUGGGGUG